UGCAAGUCGAGCGGUAGAGAGAAGCUUGCUUCUCUUGAGAGCGGCGGACGGGUGAGUAAUGCCUAGGAAUCUGCCUGGUAGUGGGGGAUAACGUUCGGAAACGGACGCUAAUACCGCAUACGUCCUACGGGAGAAAGCAGGGGACCUUCGGGCCUUGCGCUAUCAGAUGAGCCUAGGUCGGAUUAGCUAGUUGGUGGGGUAAUGGCUCACCAAGGCGACGAUCCGUAACUGGUCUGAGAGGAUGAUCAGUCACACUGGAACUGAGACACGGUCCAGACUCCUACGGGAGGCAGCAGUGGGGAAUAUUGGACAAUGGGCGAAAGCCUGAUCCAGCCAUGCCGCGUGUGUGAAGAAGGUCUUCGGAUUGUAAAGCACUUUAAGUUGGGAGGAAGGGUUGUAGAUUAAUACUCUGCAAUUUUGACGUUACCGACAGAAUAAGCACCGGCUAACUCUGUGCCAGCAGCCGCGGUAAUACAGAGGGUGCAAGCGUUAAUCGGAAUUACUGGGCGUAAAGCGCGCGUAGGUGGUUUGUUAAGUUGGAUGUGAAAUCCCCGGGCUCAACCUGGGAACUGCAUUCAAAACUGACUGACUAGAGUAUGGUAGAGGGUGGUGGAAUUUCCUGUGUAGCGGUGAAAUGCGUAGAUAUAGGAAGGAACACCAGUGGCGAAGGCGACCACCUGGACUAAUACUGACACUGAGGUGCGAAAGCGUGGGGAGCAAACAGGAUUAGAUACCCUGGUAGUCCACGCCGUAAACGAUGUCAACUAGCCGUUGGAAGCCUUGAGC
rnacentral:rRNA from 1 species